UCGUAACUUCCGGCGGCCGCCGCCGGCCGCGGCAACGCUCUCGCAGCAGCAGCAGCAGCCAGAGAGGUGAUGUCGAUACGCAGAACUUGGGAGCGAGCCGCAUAAAAAGUGAGUUGCCAAGCGGCUGCGGCGUCAGUGCGUACUCCGUGUGUGUGUCGCGUCGGCUGGCCGACGGCUGCUGGUCGGCCCGUUGUCUCGAGGUUUUUAUUGUCAGCGCGACGACGCCUUGGUUACGCAGCGUUGGUGGCCGACGGCGACCGCGGGGCGCUAGGCGCUGGACAGCCCCGGACUGUAUCAUAGCGUCUCCGUCAUCGGAGUUUCACAAAACUCUUCUCCGCAGAACCUUCUCCCACUUCUCUCUUUUUUUUUUCCUUCGCGAUGUACCCGUGCAUCUCUUUUUUUUUUUGGCUGUGAAGGCCCGCCGCUCGAGCUCCGAGUCAGACGGCAUCGAUCGGGCCUCUUCAGUGGGGGAAAAAAAAAAGAAACGUGACUGUGUAUAUAUAAUGUGCGGCGGCGGAAGGACACAGCGCAGACUUGAAGAAUGCAGCGUCGCCGACGGACAGCGCUGUUGUCCCAUGCGCUCUGGAAAACUGUACCCCUACGAAGGUGAGCUGAACUUAGCCAAGACGUUCACUUACGCGAGUUUGUUUUACGUGUCUUCCCGUUUGAAUUGUAUAUUAAAAGGUCUGGUUACUGGCCGCGCAACAUUCUUUAAUGCAGGCCGGACUUUUAUCAUUUCACGAAGCCGCAGUCGCAGCGACGACCGUGCGCAGAACAUCGCGCAGUCGUAAUUUAAUUACGAGUAGUUUGCAGGGGGAAACUUCAGACGGAGUUUAGAGCGCGCGAUCGACUAUCGAAAUGAGAUAGGAGGAAUCGCCGUUCGCUAUUCUAAAAUUUUCGUUCCGCUCCACUCAUGCACAGAACUUUGCACCACAUGCGAACGUCAAACUUCUAUUCCGAAAGGGCCUCGGAUUUAUCAAUAUCAGUUUUUCGAAUAAGCCAGAGGCUCCAUAACGCAGUUAGUUACGAGUAUCAGGACAAGAAUAAGUAAGUUCGAUGAAAUCGGUUUAUGAAUUGUCAUCGCGAAGAACUUUAGUUUUGUUUGUAGUAUAAAGCACUUCGCAGCAGCAUGUCAGUGAGUCAGGCACACGUGAGCGGCGCUGUGCGCAACAGUCGGGAACCACGUCGCCGAUGUUUUCCUUCUUUGUUUUCGGCCGCGGACCCGUGCGACGUCAUAACGCGAGCUUUCCUCCUGUGUUUUUGUUUCUGUAGCGGAUCGCGGCGCAGUAACUUCACCGUAUGCAAGGAGAGAGCUGCACUAGUAAACAAGCCGCGUCUCGAUAGAGGUUUCUUGGAAGCGCCGGUUAUUGCACCGGUCGCGCGUUGGUAGACUCCGUCGCUACGCAAUCGACAAGGACGCUACCGAAGGUCCCACGUCAGGGUAACACAAAGGAAAGUCGGCGACGGCGUAGUGUUCAUAGCGCUCUGCGGUCUAGCGACGCAGCGUGGCAGUGUGGAAUACUUAGUAGCUACGAGAUUGGUAUUCGAAAUUCGUACGCCGUCAUCCUUUUUUUUUUUCACCUCUUUCUUUACAAUUAGUGGGUCUUCGUCGAUAAGCCGGAAUGUGUAAAGUUUGUAGCACUACGUUUGGCGCAUGCCAAAAAUUAAACAGAAAAAAAAAAUCAGAAAGGAAUGUUAAGGACAUUACGAUAUCAUUCCUUCGUCGUUCUUGAUCGCCGUUAUUUUCGCGCGGUCAUCGGUAGCAAAUUAUCGAGCCUCCGCGUCCCUGACGAGCGUUCUCGAUGCAUAUGCGAAGAUUCGUUAAUCGUCUCGCCAUUGUGUGGUUCAAUGUACUACGCACCGGCUGUAGUUGACCUGUUAGAGGAAAUCGUCGCGAGGCCUAACUCCGUCGACGGUGCCGUGGCUGUGUGGUGCGCGCUUUCUUUGUUCGGGACGGCGGGUCUUGUUUUGUUUGGAGUUGUUUGGCCGCGCCAUCUUGGUUCGCGCGCGGUCCGCGGGAAAGGGCAAGAGGUAGACGCGAGAGUCAGUGCUGCGAGUUCGGGCGCGCAAGAAAGUUGGCCCAAACUUGACUGCUUGAGAGAGAAAAAAAUGAAGCGAAAACAAGUAACAGACAUAAAUAUGGCGGCACUGCGGUGGCGCUAGCGUCCGCGGUAUCGCGGGGAUCCACUGUUCUGGGCCCGUUUGCAUUCUUCGUGUGAUCCGGUCGCGUCUGGGACCUUCAAGCAGACGGCGCAAUUACCUGGCAAGCGCACCCGUCCACAAGCCCACCGCAGUCUGUUCUUGAACGACUAGCAACAUGGACUCCGGCUCCAUGCAUGACCCAACAUGAAGCAACAGCAUGGUUAAAGGCGAAGCUAAACAAAAAUGGUUGCGGCCACGGCACGUGACGUCACUCAAGGUUGUCCGGGUGUAGAGAUGAGGCAUACGACGCAGCAACGGCCACCUCGGAGAAGACAACUCUAAGCGUCACACCCGAAGGUUCACCGUCCGGAGUGAGAUCCCGUCUUGGUCCCGGAGACCAGCGUCCUUGUACCGUGGGCCUGGUGAGUCCCGGAAACAGGAGAAGGCAAGGAGACCUUCUGCGUCCGAACAGUGCCGGAGGUGUGGAAGCGAGGCCAGCGCUGUUCUCCUGCGUCCGUCGCCAGAGCGUGAAGUUUGUCCGGACAAGGGAAACUAAUAUUAAGGCUUGUAAAAGAAUGUGCGCACGGAAACGCUAGUUGAGAACGUUCGUAUCCAAGUGCAGUGUAAACGAUGUGCAUGUUUGCGCUUUAUUUUGCGUGAUCUUGCGGAGCUAUGACAGUAGGCUAGGCGAAAGGUGCGCGUUAUGCAUUGUGGCCAGCUCCGAAAUUCGGCAAAUAUGUGUAAAAGAUUUCCAAAUUUGUUACGCCGACUUUUCUGAGAAUAGACGUGCCAUCAUAACAGCCAUUCUUUAUAAGCAGUGAACGUUCACGUCUGGAAGACGGUAUUAAUAUGUGGUAGAUGCGUUGCGCGCAACAAUGAAGUGCUGUCGGGCCCUAUGAGCACCUAGUUUUCGUCUUAAUAAUUAACUCCGCCAUUGGUGGCGAUAGAGUUCAGUGUGUGGAAGUGAACGACUAAGAAAGCGGUCAUAAUGCUUGCUUUCACUCUCUACGGUUGUAUCAUUUUCCUGUUGUAGCGUGUGUCCUUGUACAUAUUUUACUCUGAAAUAUUAAUCAUACUUCCUAAUCAACAAGCCGAACACAGCUAGCGUUGCUGCAAGCCGGAUAAUGUGUCCCUGACAGUACUGCCAUCGUAGUGCACCAAGGUACAUAGGUCGCUGUCUCGCUUCAAGAAGAGGAGUCCCACGGUUAGAGUAGCUGGAGAACAAGUGGCGCCCGCCGCCCUCUCGACGGGCGUAUAAGGAGAGAGGCGCACAGAGUAAGAAAGGUGGCCUUCUCCUCGGUGAGCGCCGCAACUUGUUGCAUCCCCUGUGGGAAUCGCGAAAAGCUUGCGGCCUUAAGCUUCAGCCACGCCGAAGCGUGCCCCCAGUUCCGAUAGCUGGAGGGGGAACAGAAGGGUUGGCGGUGUGUUUAAUCAAUCGAGGUUGAUCCCACGUUCUCGUCGUGACGCGACCGCCUACCUCGAAGAGAAGUGACGGCCUCGAUGAGCAUGGUUGUGUUUCUCGUGGUUUAGAGGUACACUUCCCGUGCACCAAUAGGCUUUACUGCGACGGUUUCUCAGACCAGGGGUCUGACUGCGACAGAAAAAAAAAAAAAAAAGCUGUCUCCUGAAUAGUGUGUCGGGAGGUGCCGAAAGAACAGUAUUAGAACCUCAGAUAUUGAACAGACAUUGGACAUCGUUCAGGACUCGACAGCGCCCCCGCGCACCGACCGCACUCCUUCGAAGGACAUUCAUAGCCAAAAUGGCGGUCGGGGGAAGGUCUCGGCGGCGGCCAAGGCCCCUGGUGGCGGUCGGCCGCCCUGGGCAACUCCCGCGCGUUUUGUUGCGAAGCGCUCCAGCCGCUCCAGCGCGCUGCUUUCCAUGAGGCGGCGCGGUUCGCCGGGCGCGUUUCGUUUUUAUUGUCUCCCUCGCCCUUCCCGCUCGGAGCGGCGCCUUCACAGGCGUUUUUCCUUCUCUUUUGUCUCGUUUCACCCUUUCUUUUUUGGCUGCGUUCGGCGGCGAGCACAAUGAUGAAGCCGUCUGGCGCGCCUGCGCAAACGCGGCGGCGGACCAGCCUCACCUCCUUCCUCUGCUGCCUCCUCCUCUUUUUGCGUCUGCGGCGGCGGCGACGGCAAUCGCCGCCAAGGUGCGUGCACUCGUCGUCGGCGCGCCGUCGGCGGCGCCGCCGCUUGGCGACGCUACGAGAUCGUGCGCUGCCGCUCUGUGCGCUGCUGCUGCUGCUGCUUGUGCGAUGGAGCUAGCCGGUCGGUUGGCGCAUGCGUCAGCCCCCGGUAUUUCCCUUCCCUCCGCCGCCGACUCUACUACUGCUCUGUGCUGGGCGCUCAGCGAAGCGCCGGGGGUCCACCUCUGCAUUCCGCCGCAACGGAAUUAUCGAUCGGCGCGGAGACUUUGCCGCGGCGCAGCGGCCGCCCGGGCGUAGUCGCGACCGGACGCGCGGACCGAGACGGUCGUUCGCCGGCGGCGCCCGGUCCCGGUGCUGCAACCCGUUCGCUCGCUGCCGCUGGACCCUCGGCGCGCCUCUUCGUUCCCGGCCUUCGUCGUCGUCGUACCCAUCCCGUCCCGAGUUCUGUCGGUCCUUCGUCCCUGACCCCUGUUAUCCUGCCUGCCUACCGCCCCAUCGCCCGCCUGCAUCCGUGAGAAAGAAAUGUCGCGCUUCCUCCUUCUCCGACCAUCCUCUUGUCUUCCCUACCGGUCGCCAUCGUCGUCUCGAGCCUGUCUCUGCCCCUGGCCUCUACGUGCUGCAUCAGGUGCUUGUGACUACGCGUUCGAAAGUCAGGUACCUGAAGUAGCGCGCGGAAGGCUCGAACCUUGGGCCUCCAUUCACCGAUGGACCACAACGGGCCCUCUUUGUCGUCGGAGAGCAGCGAGACGGUCCGGCGCCAUCGUGGAAGCGACGAGCCCGCUGCGGAAGGCCACAGCGACAGUCAAUGGAGGACCGCGGCUGGCCUGACUGACACUUCAGCCCCUCGCCGGCAGCGACGGGACGACGCCGGCGCCGCCGGAGCUCAACGAGGCGAGACAGCGGCCACUUCGAGCCGUGAGUUGUGUGUCGUACUGCUCGAGCCUGCCGCUGUGUCUCGCUGUUCCCUUCGCUUCUCUAGCGCGAUCGAUCGCGGUCAGGGCGCCGUCGGGAGACCGGUUCGUCAUGGCCGCUAACGUUGCCUACUCCCUUGUUAUUUAUACGUUCUACUCGGAAAUAGUUGGGAAGUCUUUUCUCCUGCGUCCUUUUGACUAAGCACAGCAGCUGUUACAUUAAAAACUCGCUUAAUGCGGCUUGGGAGAAGGAGUAGAGGGUUGCCGCAUGGGAGGCCAUGUUUUACUAGUUUCUCAGUCGCCAUGCUGCUCAGUAGGAUUGCACGCCAUGGUGGGUCCAUUUAGUUCGAUACGCGAGUAUUUCUUACCUAGACAACUUAUGCUAUAUGACUUCUCGUGUGGUGUACAAGCUUCACAGCCCCGUAACAGUUCCUUUAUCUUCAGAUAGACCAUGUAGAUUAAUUUCUAGGCGUCGUGAUAGUUUCUGAGCGCAGGCAGGUCGGCAUUUGUAGUGAAUGAACCUGUUCUCGAGAAAAACUGUGUGCGGUACGUCGCGCCUGUAUACAUUCUACCGUUAAACACUGUUUGGUUUUGAACCACGGUCUACAACCGGAAUUGGUCGUACGAAAUUUCACUAGCCCUUCAUUUUGUGGGUACGAUCUGACUGCUACACGCGCAAACGUGCAGCUUUUUCGUGAAACAAAAAUGUCAAAGAGGCAGGAGGUUGUUGAGCUGCCAUAUUGUAGUCCCCCGCACAGUCAUCAGUGUUUUAGCAAUCCUCGGGUAAACGGUGUUUCUCCUUGAAUCGAUAAAGGUAGCUUGCUUCGCUAGAAAUGGACACGCGAGAAGAGACAUUAAGGUCCGUGGUUCGGCUCGUCCGCAGCGCCAGCCCGCGCAGUGGCGAAGCGACCUCGCCGAGACGGGAGGAGAGUGCAGUGCGGUGAAGGCAGACGGCCGGUACCGCGCUACUUCGCAAAUGUCAAAAGUCAAGGGCCACCAUGGCGGUGGUGACGGCAGCUCCUCCGCAGAAUCGCGGUCCCCAACCCUGGUGCACAAGAAAUAGGGAGAGAGAGAGAGAGAGAGUCUGUCUGUGUUUAUGUAUGUGUGUGCGUAAGUGCGUGAAUAAAAAACGCUUAUGGUGACGGGCAAAGAAGGGGAAAGCGAUGUAAGAGGAGAAGGUGCGUAGCGCGUGUGCUUGUUCAGUGGCCGAGGGUUCGGGAUGAGUGGAAAGGAAGAGGCAUGUAAAGGAGCGCGAGAGAUGAAGGUGAAGAGAAGCGCUGGAUAGGGGUGGGAGGUGAUGCUGAAGAUGCGGCGGAGCCGGAUGAAGAGGAGGAGGAUGGUUUCUCCUCUCGAUGCGGAUGCGGAUGCGGCAGGAGCCUCCAGCGCGCGCCUGCGCCGCGCGCGCCCUCCAGGUUUGAGGGGCGUGGCAUCAUUGCGCGGGUCUUGCGCGCGCAUGCCGUGGCUCCCUUUGCUCGUCACUCGCGCGCGGCGCGCUAUGGGAUGGAAGGCAGCAGCCGCAUCUCGCGCUGCGACGCCCUUCUCACCCGUUUCCUUCCUUUCUCCUCAAACGCUCUGCUUCGCCUUGCAUUGAACGUUCAGAUAUGAAAUAGCCGUGCGAAUGACGUGGCGCCGCUUCGAACAUAACUGACUUGGCCUUAGCCCUAGGGUGAAAUGAGACUGCUACGGCAUUUAAAUCUUUGGUUGCCCAGGAAAUGCCCCUCGGAAUUUUUCAACGAACCUGCUUGAACAGACUGCCGCCUGCGAACCUAUUCACGACCCCGAUGGUCGGGCCUUCUGGGCUUUAGUUCGUUUGGGAGAGGCGUGUUCCUCUCCUAUAUACGGGUGACAGUGUGACCUUCCUUGUGCUCGGAAGUACCCGGUGGACGCAGUGUACUCAAAAGCAUUCUAGCAGGGCUAAUGUUUCGGGAGAUAUUUAUUUUUCUACGCGGCGCAAGGCAUCCCCCCGCUGAUGCAACAAAAUUGCACGGGCACUGGAGGUGGAAGGAUGAAUGAAGGACGCAGAGCCAGACGAAACGGUGGAGCGGAGCAAAACAUAUAAAAGAGAGUGCGCCUCUUGCUCUGCUGAUCGAUAACGGGUGACCCAGACGUACCCCCCCCCCUCCCACUCCCCUCUACCUUCCUCCCUCUUUCCUGUCUGAGGUAUCGCCACAUCCAUUUGAACUUUGUCAAUUUAGAGAGCUAGAGAUGUACCGCCAUCGCAGGCCUAAGGUGAUGGUCACUCCGGCAUGCACCCUGUCUGCGUAAGCCGUGCGAUAUAACUGGCCAGCUCGAGCGCUAGCCUAGCGGCUGAGGGAAAGAGAGAGUGCGCAUUGGAUGGAAAGAGACGUGGAGGGUGGGUAGAACGCGCUCGCAUGGUGGCGACGGCGAACCUUAAUGGUGACCUUUCUCAGCCGCUUGGAAACUCCCGUUGCAAAGAAAGUGUACAGUGGGAGAGAGUGAGGACCGCGUCUCCAUGUUCCCUGCGAUCGAAGACCGAAUGCGCGCCAAGGAGUCUCAGAAACGGCGCUCUCGCUGCUGUCGUUGCUUGGCAACAGCAUUCGACGUCUCCGCCGUCUCCCAUGGCAACGGACAACCGCAUCUUCCGCGCUCUUUCCUCUCUCAAUUAACAUGUCGGUGUUAGGCUAUGCCGUGUGUGCAGGCGCUGCGCCCUUUCUCGGUUAAGUUCAUGAGGGAUGCCCUUCGAGCGUGUUCAGUUCUCUCGAAGUGAAGAACGCAGAAGACGCGAUAACAUCCUUUACGCAGUAUAGUGCCUUAGGAUUUCGCUUCAACCGUUUAUAACCCUAACUCGUGUUGUGAGUAUGGUUACGCUGCAUCGUCUCCAGGGUGGCUGGGCACCAUUCCGCGUUUCCAUAGGAUAGGUUGAGUCAUAUCAAUGUCAGUAUCCUUCUAAUACUUCUAAUCCCGCCGAUGUUGGCGCAUACGUCAGCCGUAGCCAAACAUUGCCAACCCAUACCGUUCAGAAGUUUCCAUAUGGCAUGUUUCUACUUGGUGGUUUCUAUGAAUUAAGAAGGGAAUUAAAGUAAAAGAAGGAUAACCAAAGGCAGUUCUGUGAACAGUUUAACUUCCUUUAACGCGUGUUAUUUCCCCCUUCCCUCUGUAACUCUUUAGCUUGAGUAACUUUAAAAGGGUUUUAUGUAAAGUAACAAACGGACAAUUUCGAGGCAUUAGGUGUCUCAUGACGUCUUUGGGUAAUUCUACAUCAAAUUAGUUAAGAGGUGGCUUUGAACCACUGCUACCGCCGUUUCCGAGCACAGUUUUCAGAGCACAGCAUUUUUUAUUUUGUCUCAUCUGCGCCAUCGAAAAUUUAAUUCAGGGAUUCACUGCGUUGAUCGCCACCAUGAACUAAACGCUAUAAAGUUCUCACAUUUGGCAAGGACACGUUAUCAGCAACUAUUUCUUUUAAACUUAUGCGGUCGUGUAUAGGGUAUCGCAUGCUGGAGGAGGAGCCGUCAGUUUAGCGCGAACAUUUCACUGUC